UGAUUCUAUGUGAUGCCUUGUGCUGUAAGGAACAGGAGCUCUAUCCAGCCAAGGCCGAGAGUCCAGCUGCUCUGGCCCUGAGAUUGGAUGCAAUUCACUAAGGAGCUUCUGGAGUCACCAUCUAUUUCUAUACUAGCUCAUUAAAUUGUUACAGAAUUUUUCUGGGCAUGGAAACACGCUCACCUGUGGCUCAGGAUUCAAAAGAAGCCAAAAUCCAUUCCACAUAAAUGGUUUGAGACUUUAGGAAGACCACCUAUCAGUGGUUGGGAUUUUCAGACUUAUCCCUACAUUUUCAAAGGACUUUUGUUACAAUCCCCUGAGACAGUCAUCAUUAUGUAUAUUUCCCAGUCACGACUGCGUGUCUCACUGUGCUUGACGAGGCUCAAGACUUAGUAAAGCAACAGUCCUUACCUUGAAGAGGUUUUACAAAAUGUCAUUGAAGUUAGUGGAGGAUACGCGGAAAAAAUUAGCAGCCCACCACCAUUAUUGGUUUCAUCAUCUAACUCUGUUCUGAAAACUGCUGC